GAUUUGGGGCCUGCUUGGGGCCAGGGAAGCAAGAGCCCCAUUCACGUUGCCCAGAUGUGUUCUACUCUAAGUGUGUGACCUAUAGGAAGAAGGCAUGACGGGAACGAGACUGUAGGAAGAUUUAUCGGGCUUCGAGAGGCCAGCAGGCAGCAGAAGAGGGGAGGCCAGAGGCAAGGAGAACCACCUGGAGGUUGAGGGGCUUGUGCCGGUGGUGCUUCUGAGAUGUCCCAAAGCCUACACUGAAACUUCUCUAGAGAGCUCAUAUCUAGUGGGGCCAUAAAUUAUGUGCUGUUGUUCCAAUGU